GGACUACACGGGUAUCUAAUCCUGUUUGCUCCCCACGCUUUCGCACCUCAGCGUCAAUACUUGUCCAGCGAGUCGCCUUCGCCACUGGUGUUCUUCCGAAUAUCUACGAAUUUCACCUCUACACUCGGAAUUCCACUCGCCUCUCCAAGAUUCUAGCUAUCUAGUUUCGAGGGCAGUUCCGGGGUUGAGCCCCGGGCUUUCACCCCCGACUUGAAUAGCCGCCUACGUGCGCUUUACGCCCAGUAAUUCCGAACAACGCUAGCUCCCUCCGUAUUACCGCGGCUGCUGGCAC
rnacentral:rRNA from 1 species